rnacentral:rRNA from 1 species
AUGGUAUUCAGAGAGUUUAAUGAGAUCCUGUUUUUCACAUGAGAAGGAGGGGGAGAAGCUCGGGAGCAGCGACAGAUGCAAGGAUUUAGAGAUGCCCUGGCUGAUUGUGACCUAGAUGAUCUGGGGGCCUCGGGGGAUAGUUUUACUUGGAGUAGAGGUCGGAUCAAUGAGCAACUGGAUAGAGCGGUGUGCAACUCAUGGUGGAAUAUCCUUUUCCCGCAUGUAGGAGUGCUGAAUGGGGAGAUGAAGAAAUCUGAUCAUCGACCCCUACUGGUGAAUACUGAAUGUUAUGCGGAGCAGAACAGACCGAGGGGAACCAGAAGAAGGUUUGAAGCAAGAUGGCUAAAGGAGGAAACAGUGGAGGAGGUGGUACGAACGGCGUGGCAACGGGCGGCGAUGCCAGGGAUUGGCCCCUUCAAGUCUAAAGUCGAUGCCGUACACACGAAGCUGCACCAGUGGGAUAGAGAAGUUUUGAAGAGACCGCAAAAGAGGAUGGCGGCCCUCAAGGCAGAGCUGGAAGACUUGAGAAGGGGUCCGGCUACAGAUGCAACCAUAGAUAGGCAGAAAUAG